rnacentral:lncRNA from 1 species
GUAGACAUGUUUGAUGCAGGUAAUUGGAGUAACCCCGUCACUGAAUUCUCUACUGACCUUCUGCCGGUUAAGAGAGGCGAUCCAGGACGCCCCGUCAUCCCGAUCUCCAUCGGCAUGGUGGACGUUCCAGAAGCACUCUGCGACUUUGGCUCCAGUGUCAACAUUAUACCUAGGGUACUCUAUGAAAAAUUCUUUACAUAUCCUUUAUUAGAGACAACCAUGUGUUUGCAGUUUGCAGAUCAGACGAUAACUUUUCCAAAAGGAAUAGUGAGGAAUCUUUGUGUCCGAGUUGGUACCUUAUAUGCCCCAGCAGACUUCGUAGUGGUAGAGACCGGAAAUGAUGAGAGAGCACCUAUUAUCUUAGGGAGGCCAUUCUUGAACACCACGGGAGCUAUCAUCUACGCCAGUGCUGCCAAGAUCAGUUUCUACGUCAAAGGGAAGAAGGAGACAUUUUUCUUCAAGAACAAGACUACACAAAUUCAAGAUCAAUCCAGACGUAAAUCAAGGAAGAGGACCAACAGAAGAAACAGGAACAAGCAAGUGUGGACCGAGUCAGCUAAGAUGGUCACUGUAGUCCAUGGAGGCCAAGAUCAUCAACUUAAGUCACCGUUUUUGACCAAGAAGGACGACCCAGGAAUGCCAAGCAUCUACUGCUCCAUAAAUGGAUACAACUUCUACAAGACGAUUUGCGACACCGGAUCGGGCGUCAACAUAAUGGCCGCAGUCACCUAUCGUCUCUUGUUCGGAACCAUGCCACUAAGACCAACGUACAUUCAGCUCCAGAUGGCAGAUCAGACAUUUCGAGAAGUCAAAGGAAUAGUAUCUGAUGUCCCAGUCAAAAUAGACGAUCAUUUUGUCUACACAGACUUUCAAGUUGUUGACAUGGGAGAAGAUGAGUAUGAUCCACCCAUCAUCCUUGGAAGACCGUUCCUCAGCACUGUUAAAGCAAUCAUCUACAUUGGAACCGAAGAAGUCCAUAUGCACUUCCCCUCAAAGAAGGUACGCCGUUACUUUAUUGACCCUGACUAUAUCGUUGAAGAAUCUAAGCAGGUGAGAAAGAGACGCAACCGCAACCAGAGGAGGCAGAUCAUCAAGGACGGAUGGGCAGACUAUGAAGGAGAAGUUGUAAGAUCAGAAGACGUUGAGUUUAAACAGAAUUAUCCAGAGGGGAUUGAAGCACCAAGUCAAGUGUGAAAAAUAAAGAUAACUAUACAAGAAGAGGAGGCGCUGCCGGAAGUACCGACUACGCCACCCAACGAACCUAAGGACGAUUAAGAAAAUGGAGAGUCCCGUUCGGAGGACUUAAAAACACCGAACGCCUUGCCAAGAGGUAAACUUGGUAGUUAUCAUUUCCCUUUCAAUUAUUUCAAAUAGUUUAUUUAGUUAAUCAUAUUCAUACUAUCCUAAAAAGAAAAUAAAAAUAUGAAAACCAGUAAGCCCCAUGUGAGUAUGCGAGUGGCAUAAAACCCAUAAGUACAUUCACUGUGGUGGCAUAAAAAUAAAAUAAUUAUUUUUUCUGCUUUAUAAAAAAAAAAUAUAAAAACAAGGAGUAAUAUUUAUUAAGGAGUCUCAACAUGAUAAAGGCUAGAUAUUUAUGCCAACACUUAAUCAGUUCCACAAGCUUUGUUGUCUAUUUGAGCUCCACAGAAUUUAAGAAUCAAGAAGACUAGCAGACGGAGGACAUUCUAAUCGCUGUCAGAAUACUGCUGACUUUCAAAUACACCUCUGCCACCUGCUAGCUACAUCAAGAGAAAUUACGUCAAAAUUCAGCUUGGGAGAGAGCACCCCUAUUUACCUCGAUAAGUAUUUCUAUCUAUCUUUAUACUUAUAUUAUUCUAGAAUAUAAAUACACAUAACUAUGAAAAACCAAAUAAAGAUUUUAUGCUUAUAUAUAUUUUGCUUAGUGUGUUUAAUAAAUAAAUAAAGUGGCUAUGCUAAUCUGUAUCUAAAUAAAACUUAAGCAUGGAUAUGAUAAAUAGUUGCUCUGCCUAAUUUGCAAAUUUUAAGUUCUCUCUCAAGUUUAGACAUAACUGUUAUAAUUUAAAUCUUGCUCUAGACCUAAACUUGUGGGAUGAAAACUUGAUCUGAAGUCUAAGUUGUUAAUGGAUACGAUAUGGGAAAGUUGAGCUGUUGUUUAUCUGUUCCUAGAGAUGCUAGAAUUCUGGAGAAUUUUAUCUUUGAAAAUCUUUAAAAUGUUGCAUGAUGAGUCCCUGUAUGAUGAGUGUUUAAAUUCCUACCACAGCCAUAUAUACAUGCUUGCUAGACUUUGAGCCACACAUUUACUAUUUACUGCUUAUGAGCAUUGAGUAUAGUCAAGCUGUGUAGACCCUUAGGGGCUUGUCAUGUGGUUAAAUCAAGAUUUCACUUGCACGUUCACUCAUAUAUGCUACUUCUACUCCAGAAGUACCAUCCACAUAUAUCCAUCCAUUUCCAUCUCCAGAAUCACCUAAAAAUAUUCUACUCUUAAUCCGGGAGAGAAUAACCAAAAAUAUUUCUGUUUUCCUCUUGUGAAAUAAAUGCUCAAGUUAUCUUGUUACUACCACUUGCUAUAUUAUCUCAAGAGAUGAAUGCUCUGAAAAAAAAGAAAAAAAGAUACGAGGAAAUAAAAAGGAGCAAGUGCUCGGAACCUCGAAAGAAAAGAAAAAGUGAGACAAGAGGUAAAAAUGGACAAGUGUCCGACAGUAGAAAUUAGGGGUACAAGAUACCCACCUGAGAGAAAAGAAAAGGAAGAGCAUCUCAUUCUCCUCAUAAAGUUUCAAAAGCAAGGAAGGUAUGUAUCCCCUCAAAGAGCAAAGUAGAAUUAGUCUUCCACCACCAUUGUUUUCACCAUUGUUGUCACCAUCACCACCAUACACCAUUCAUUCAUCACACAUGCACAUCUUGAUUUGGCUUAUUGAUUUGUUUCUUUGGAUCCAUGGUUUGACUAUGCAAUAAAUGUCUUGUAAGUAUGUAUAUUUUAUCUCCCACCUAUGAGCUCCAGAUAUUAAAGUCUUAUUAGAGUAGGAUGAGAGAGAAGGCAAUGUCACUAUGCCUCAUACCACAAAUACUACAUAUUUUGAGAGAAGGCAUAUACCAUCACUGCCUUGGUAAGGAUCCAAAAAAUACCACAAAAGAGAGACCUGAGAGAAUCAUACAAGGAAUCUCUGAGUUUUAUUUGAAAAUCUGCAAAAAACCCCAGAACUAUAGCGGAUCAAGAAUAAGAGACAUGGCACUUGGCUAGACUGUUCUAUCUUUUAACCACUCAAGAUAGAAGUGACGGUUACAAGUCCCAUGGUGAAGGUGAAGUAAGUAAGUUUUAAGUCUUGACAGUUUACUCUAACUCAGAGAUGAGAUCUUAUUUAAAAAGCAUGUGUACCGUCAAUUUUUUAAAGAUAUUGCAACAACUUAUGAUCCAUAGCUAAGUCUAUCCUUGCUCAGGGACGAGCAAGAGGUAAGCUUGGGGGAGUUUGUUGACGGUCCUUAAGUAUCAAAUUUAAUUAUCAAAUAAAUAAAGAAAAGGAUCCAAAUGAAAUCAACAUCCAGACUUAGGGUUUUAUCUGACAGAAUUCCACGAGUUUUGGUGUUUGUCUAUUUCUGCAGGGGGUUAUCAGGAAAUACGGAAGAAAGGUCCACAUGUCGGGAUUACGUAAAGAUAUUAACGUCCUGCGCAAUUAUCUUACAUCUAGAAGACUCCAGAAGCCACGAGACCGAAGCGGAGGCGAAACGGGGCCAGAGACAGGGCGCCCGCCCUGUCCUACUAGGCGCCCGCCCACCUCCUGUGUCCAAUCAGGACUCUGCUUUGCGGGAGAUCUCCACCGACCUAAAGGAUGAAUCUAAACCAUACAAUCUAUGUCGGUUUGAUCCAAUGGCCCAUAUUCACUUGAAGGGACUAUAAAACCAGACCCCCUGGCCCCUGGAGGAGAGAGCCUCUCAACCCUAAUUCAUUGUUCAUCAAGGGAGAAGAAGCCUCUGAUCAAGAUUAGAGCCACCACAUCAAUUAAAUAUCUAGAUUAGCAUAGCUACAUAGGAUUAGAACUAGAAGGAGUCAAUCUUCGAUUGGUUUCCGGAUCUGUCAGGAGGAUUCUUGGUAAUUCUCUAAUUGUGCUUCUAAUUGCUUUCUAAUUAUCUUUGUUCUUCAAUAUUAUGAAUAUGACUUUGUUCUACUUCAAUAUAUUGCUUAUGACUUUGCUCUACUUGCUUAUAUUCAAGAUUAUAUUGUUCUUAGUUUAUCAUAGUUAUGUACUUGGCUUAGUUAGAUUCGAUCUAUAUACAUGCUUAGGAUCGUAUAGCGUUUAUCCAUCGGAUCCAUGGGUAAAUGAUAGAUAUUGUGUAGGCGUGGUGCUUAUACCGUAUUUAUCUGUGAUUGUACCCAAUAUGCCAGAUCGUGGGGUGGUUCGUGAUAGUGACAGCUUCAUUGAUUCUUAUAUAGUCCCCCUCUCGUGUAUUGGGCUGGCAGAGCAACAUUAUUACAGGGGAGUGAUUGCUAUGUUUCUCAUAUUCCUUGCUAAUAUCACUAUGCAUGGGCGUAGUCUUGUCUCGCAAUGAUUGCUAAGUAUGCUUGCACUAAUUAUGAUAUGCUAGACUAUAUAGUUAAGAAUAACUUAGGGAAUAUUCUUGUAGUUCGUUCUAAUACCAUGCUAAUGACUUUCUAGAGUAUCUAAUUGAGGUGCUUAUCAUAUUUAUUAUGUGGCUAGAUCAGAUUAGUUAUCCUUGUCACUAUUAUUAUUUCAUAUAUCCUUUAUGUGACACUUAUCCCUGUAUGAAGAGUUAGAUAUAAUGUUCUCAAUUAUACAUGCAAUGAUAGAUUCUCAAUCUCAUAUUCUAUUCUGUAAUCAAUAGUGAUGAUUGCUAAUAACUUCCCAGUGGUAAAAAUAUAAAUAACGAUACCUGGAAUACUUCCCGGUUAAAAUGCUACAUCGGUAUUAAUCUGUGCGCUUGCAGAUCCCAUUCAUUAUUUAUUUAGAAGAGCAAUUGCAUAUUUCAAUACCACGUCUCUUAUAUCAUGCUGGGGAUGACAACUUGGCUUAAGUGGUGUGAGGGAUAGGUUUGGCAUUUUUGGCACCGUUACUAGAUUUAGAGAACUUAGUCUACUUUUGGUAAUGAUGUUAAGAAUACUCAACAAGCAUUUUUUGGCGCCGUUGCCGGGGAAGGUUGAUUACAAAUCAGGAAUGGAAUAAAAGAUUUUGAGUUAUCAUUCGCAUCACUAAUAUGAUUGAGCUUAUCUAUUCUCUCAUACAGUUUUACCCCGAUAUUUUUCUAUUUUAUCUUAUGCAGGGGAAUGUAUGAAUAGAAGACAUCUUCUAGGAAAUUUUGACAAUCCCGAAGCAUUAUUCAAGAAGACGAGGGCCAAGCUCAAGAAGAGAUCAUCAACACUUCACGAAGAAGCUUCAUCUAAUCAAGAAGAUCACCGGAACUUGUCUUCAGAGUUCGAAGCCAUGGCGAACAAAUCGAUCCGCGAGCUCUCAGCUCCCACUACGGACAACAUCCGCACUGGACCUGUUGCAGAGAUCGAUGGCAACUUUGAGCUCAAGCCUGGACUUAUCAACAUGGUGCAAUCCAACCAGUUCUGUGGGAAGGCACACGAAGAUGCUAGUGCUCAUUUACAACACUUCCUGGAGAUUUGCAACACAUUCACCAUAGCAGGAGUUUCCAAAGACGCUAUACUACUUCGCCUCUUCCCAUUCUCACUGUUAGGAAGAGCGAAGCAGUGGUUCUACACUACAAAGGAGAAGAAUACUACGUGGGCACUCUGCUCAACAAACUUCCUGGCAAAGUUCUUUCCCAUGGGCAAGACCAAUGCUCUCUGUGGGAAGAUUACAAGUUUUCAGCAACAAAAUGAUGAAUCUGUUCCAGAAGCAUGGGAGCGCUUUCAAGACUACAUCCUAGAAUGUCCCCAUCAUGGAAUGAAGAGUUGGCUAUUGAUGCAGACAUUCUAUCAUGGGCUCAGCAACAGUGCCCGAGAGACCAUGGAUGCUGCAGCUGGAGGAGCAUUCUUAUCACUUACUAUACCACAAGCCACAGCUCUUGUGGAGAAGAUGGCGUCCAAUCAAAGCUGGAAUGAAGAGAGGACCCAGACACGCAAGAGAGGUGGAGGUAUGCAUCAGCUGAAGGAGGUAGACAUGCUGUCUGCAAAGCUAGACCUGCUCAUGAAGAAGCUCGAUGAUAGAGCUGGAGACAAGAAAGAAGUUAUGCACAUCUACGAUUCUCACAUGACUUGUGAGGAGUGUGGAGAUACUGGACACUCAGGCAACCACUGCUCUGAGAUGCUUGAGGAUGUGAACUACAUCAACAACAACUACUACUACUACUACAACCGUCCUCAACAAAAUCAAGGUUGGAAUCAACAGAGGCCUAACUACUGAGGUAAUUCUCAAGGUAACAAUUCUUACAACAAUAAUAAUAAUUUUCCACCUUUGAGAGAGUUAGUGUCUAAUCAAGGAAAGCUAAUGGAUAACCUAUCUAAGAAAUUGGCAUCUAAUGAUAAAAUGCUAGAAAAUAUAAAUAAUAGAAUGGAUAAUUUCUCUACUGCCAUCAAGAAUCAAAUUAGCUUUAAUAAAAUGAUUGAAUCUCAGUUAAAUCAAAUAGCUGCUGCUGUUCCUACUACUAACCCCGGUAUACCAUCACAACCGGAAGGAUUAGAAUCUGCAAAUCUUGUAGACAUGUUUGAUGCAGGUAAUUGGAGUAACCCCGUCACUGAAUUCUCUACUGACCUUCUGCCGGUUAAGAGAGGCGAUCCAGGACGCCCCGUCAUCCCGAUCUCCAUCGGCAUGGUGGACGUUCCAGAAGCACUCUGCGACUUUGGCUCCAGUGUCAACAUUAUACCUAGGGUACUCUAUGAAAAAUUCUUUACAUAUCCUUUAUUAGAGACAACCAUGUGUUUGCAGUUUGCAGAUCAGACGAUAACUUUUCCAAAAGGAAUAGUGAGGAAUCUUUGUGUCCGAGUUGGUACCUUAUAUGCCCCAGCAGACUUCGUAGUGGUAGAGACCGGAAAUGAUGAGAGAGCACCUAUUAUCUUAGGGAGGCCAUUCUUGAACACCACGGGAGCUAUCAUCUACGCCAGUGCUGCCAAGAUCAGUUUCUACGUCAAAGGGAAGAAGGAGACAUUUUUCUUCAAGAACAAGACUACACAAAUUCAAGAUCAAUCCAGACGUAAAUCAAGGAAGAGGACCAACAGAAGAAACAGGAACAAGCAAGUGUGGACCGAGUCAGCUAAGAUGGUCACUGUAGUCCAUGGAGGCCAAGAUCAUCAACUUAAGUCACCGUUUUUGACCAAGAAGGACGACCCAGGAAUGCCAAGCAUCUACUGCUCCAUAAAUGGAUACAACUUCUACAAGACGAUUUGCGACACCGGAUCGGGCGUCAACAUAAUGGCCGCAGUCACCUAUCGUCUCUUGUUCGGAACCAUGCCACUAAGACCAACGUACAUUCAGCUCCAGAUGGCAGAUCAGACAUUUCGAGAAGUCAAAGGAAUAGUAUCUGAUGUCCCAGUCAAAAUAGACGAUCAUUUUGUCUACACAGACUUUCAAGUUGUUGACAUGGGAGAAGAUGAGUAUGAUCCACCCAUCAUCCUUGGAAGACCGUUCCUCAGCACUGUUAAAGCAAUCAUCUACAUUGGAACCGAAGAAGUCCAUAUGCACUUCCCCUCAAAGAAGGUACGCCGUUACUUUAUUGACCCUGACUAUAUCGUUGAAGAAUCUAAGCAGGUGAGAAAGAGACGCAACCGCAACCAGAGGAGGCAGAUCAUCAAGGACGGAUGGGCAGACUAUGAAGGAGAAGUUGUAAGAUCAGAAGACGUUGAGUUUAAACAGAAUUAUCCAGAGGGGAUUGAAGCACCAAGUCAAGUGUGAAAAAUAAAGAUAACUAUACAAGAAGAGGAGGCGCUGCCGGAAGUACCGACUACGCCACCCAACGAACCUAAGGACGAUUAAGAAAAUGGAGAGUCCCGUUCGGAGGACUUAAAAACACCGAACGCCUUGCCAAGAGGUAAACUUGGUAGUUAUCAUUUCCCUUUCAAUUAUUUCAAAUAGUUUAUUUAGUUAAUCAUAUUCAUACUAUCCUAAAAAGAAAAUAAAAAUAUGAAAACCAGUAAGCCCCAUGUGAGUAUGCGAGUGGCAUAAAACCCAUAAGUACAUUCACUGUGGUGGCAUAAAAAUAAAAUAAUUAUUUUUUCUGCUUUAUAAAAAAAAAAUAUAAAAACAAGGAGUAAUAUUUAUUAAGGAGUCUCAACAUGAUAAAGGCUAGAUAUUUAUGCCAACACUUAAUCAGUUCCACAAGCUUUGUUGUCUAUUUGAGCUCCACAGAAUUUAAGAAUCAAGAAGACUAGCAGACGGAGGACAUUCUAAUCGCUGUCAGAAUACUGCUGACUUUCAAAUACACCUCUGCCACCUGCUAGCUACAUCAAGAGAAAUUACGUCAAAAUUCAGCUUGGGAGAGAGCACCCCUAUUUACCUCGAUAAGUAUUUCUAUCUAUCUUUAUACUUAUAUUAUUCUAGAAUAUAAAUACACAUAACUAUGAAAAACCAAAUAAAGAUUUUAUGCUUAUAUAUAUUUUGCUUAGUGUGUUUAAUAAAUAAAUAAAGUGGCUAUGCUAAUCUGUAUCUAAAUAAAACUUAAGCAUGGAUAUGAUAAAUAGUUGCUCUGCCUAAUUUGCAAAUUUUAAGUUCUCUCUCAAGUUUAGACAUAACUGUUAUAAUUUAAAUCUUGCUCUAGACCUAAACUUGUGGGAUGAAAACUUGAUCUGAAGUCUAAGUUGUUAAUGGAUACGAUAUGGGAAAGUUGAGCUGUUGUUUAUCUGUUCCUAGAGAUGCUAGAAUUCUGGAGAAUUUUAUCUUUGAAAAUCUUUAAAAUGUUGCAUGAUGAGUCCCUGUAUGAUGAGUGUUUAAAUUCCUACCACAGCCAUAUAUACAUGCUUGCUAGACUUUGAGCCACACAUUUACUAUUUACUGCUUAUGAGCAUUGAGUAUAGUCAAGCUGUGUAGACCCUUAGGGGCUUGUCAUGUGGUUAAAUCAAGAUUUCACUUGCACGUUCACUCAUAUAUGCUACUUCUACUCCGGAAGUACCAUCCACAUAUAUUCAUCCAUUUCCAUCUCCAGAAUCACCUAAAAAUAUUCUACUCCUAAUCCGGGAGAGAAUAACCAAAAAUAUUUCUGUUUUCCUCUUGUGAAAUAAAUGCUCAAGUUAUCUUGUUACUACCACUUGCUAUAUUAUCUCAAGAGAUGAAUGCUCUGAAAAAAAAAGAAAAAAAGAUACGAGGAAAUAAAAAGGAGCAAGUGCUCGGAACCUCGAAAGAAAAGAAAAAGUGAGACGAGAGGUAAAAAUGGACAAGUGUCCGACAGUAGAAAUUAGGGGUACAAGAUACCCACCUGAGAGAAAAGAAAAAGAAGAGCAUCUCAUUCUCCUCAUAAAGUUUCAAAAGCAAGGAAGGUAUGUAUCCUCUCAAAGAGCAAAGUAGAAUUAGACUUCCACCACCAUUGUUUUCACCAUUGUUGUCACCAUCACCACCAUACACCAUUCAUUCGUCACACAUGCACAUCUUGAUUUGGCUUAUUGAUUUGUUUCUUUGGAUCCAUGGUUUGACUAUGCAAUAAAUGUCUUGUAAGUAUGUAUAUUUUAUCUCCCACCUAUGAGCUCCAGAUAUUAAAGUCUUAUUAGAGUAGGAUGAGAGAGAAGGCAAUGUCACUAUGCCUCAUACCACAAAUACUACAUAUUUUGAGAGAAGGCAUAUACCAUCACUGCCUUGGUAAGGAUCCAAAAAAUACCACAAAAGAGAGACCUGAGAGAAUCAUACAAGGAAUCUCUGAGUUUUAUUUGAAAAUCUGCAAAAAACGCCAGAGCUAUAGCGGAUCAAGAAUAAGAGACAUGGCACUUGGCUAGACUGUUCUAUCAUUUAACCACUCAAGAUAGAAGUGACGGUUACAAGUCCCAUGGUGAAGGUGAAGUAAGUAAGUUUUAAGUCUUGACAGUUUACUCUAACUCAGAGAUGAGAUCUUAUUUAAAAAGCAUGUGUACCGUCAAUUUUUUAAAGAUAUUGCAACAACUUAUGAUCCAUAGCUAAGUCUAUCCUUACUCAGGGACGAGCAAGAGGUAAGCUUGGGGGAGUUUGUUGACGGUCCUUAAGUAUCAAAUUUAAUUAUCAAAUAAAUAAAGAAAAGGAUCCAAAUGAAAUCAACAUCCAGACUUAGGGUUUUAUCUGACAGAAUUCCACGAGUUUUGGUGUUUGUCUAUUUCUGCAGGGGGUUAUCAGGAAAUACGGAAGAAAGGUCCACAUGUCGGGAUUACGUAAAGAUAUUAACGUCCUGCGCAAUUAUCUUACAUCUAGAAGACUCCAGAAGCCACGAUACCGAAGCGGAGGCGAAACGGGGCCAGAGACAGGGCGCCCGCCCUGUCCUACUGGGCGCCCGCCCACCUCCUGUGUCCAAUCAGGACUCUGCUUUGCGGGAGAUCUCCACCGACCUAAAGGAUGAAUCUAAACCAUACAAUCUAUGUCGGUUUGAUCCAAUGGCCCAUAUUCACUUGAAGGGACUAUAAAACCAGACCCCCUGGCCCCUGGAGGAGAGAGCUUCUCAACCCUAAUUCAUUGUUCAUCAAGGGAUAAGAAGCCUCUGAUCAAGAUUAGAGCCACCACAUCAAUUAGAUAUCUAGAUUAGCAUAGCUACAUAGGAUU